CCAGAGGGCUGGGCGACCGCGGGUGCUUGCACGCGAGGAAAGUCCGGGCUCCACGGAACGACGGUGCCGGGUAACGCCCGGCGAGGGUGACCUUAGGGAAAGUGCCACAGAGAGCAGACGGCUAAGGCUUAGGUCCAGUCAGAGUGAAAGGGUGCGGUAAGAGCGCACCGCGUUUCCGGUAACGGCGACGGCACGGCAAACCCCACCGGGAGCAAGAUCGAAUAGGGGCGGCAAAUGGGCUUCGUUCCGGCCCGUCGCCCGGGUUGAUUGCUUGAGCGCGCCGGCAACGGCGCGCCUAGAGGAAUGGUCGCACAUCUCCGCAAGGGGAGGACAGAACCCGGCUUACAGGCCCUCUGGUGCU
rnacentral:RNase_P_RNA from 1 species